GAUGAAGAACGCAGCGAAAUGCGAUAAGUAAUGUGAAUUGCAGAAUUCAGUGAAUCAUCGAAUCUUUGAACGCACAUUGCGCCCGCCAGUAUUCUGGCGGGCAUGCCUGUUCGAGCGUCAUUUCAACCAUCAAGCCCCCGGCUUGUGUUGGGGACCUGCGACUGCCGCAGGCCCUGAAAAGCAGUGGCGGGCUCGCUGUCACACCGAGCGUAGUAGCAUACAUCUCGCUCUGGGCGUGCUGCGGGUUCCGGCCGUUAAACCACCUUCAUAACCCAAGGUUGACCUCGGAUCAGGUAGGAAGACCCGCUGAACUUAAGCAUAUCAAUAAGCGGAGGA
rnacentral:misc_RNA from 1 species